ensembl:snoRNA C18D1.21 ncRNA
UCAAAAGGCUAACUAAACAAAAAUUGAGUGGACAAAGAGUAAAGAAAAGGGGUCAAAUGAACGAAGAUUUGAUCUAGUUUCUUGUUUGAACCUUUUUUGAAAUACCUUAACUUCAAAUUUUCUUAAAAUAACUUUCAAACUCUCAAGAACAAC